rnacentral:rRNA from 1 species
GACGAACGCUGGCGGCGUGCCUAAUACAUGCCAGUCGAACGCUUCUUUCCUCCCGAGUGCUUGCACUCAAUUGGAAAGAGGAGUGGCGGACGGGUGAGUAACACGUGGGUAACCUACCCAUCAGAGGGGGAUAACACUUGGAAACAGGUGCUAAUACCGCAUAACAGUUUAUGCCGCAUGGCAUAAGAGUGAAAGGCUCUUUCGGGUGUCGCUGAUGGAUGGACCCGCGGUGCAUUAGCUAGUUGGUGAGGUAACGGCUCACCAAGGCCACGAUGCAUAGCCGACCUGAGAGGGUGAUCGGCCACACUGGGACUGAGACACGGCCCAGACUCCUACGGGAGGCAGCAGUAGGGAAUCUUCGGCAAUGGACGAAAGUCUGACCGAGCAACGCCGCGUGAGUGAAGAAGGUUUUCGGAUCGUAAAACUCUGUUGUUAGAAAAGAACAAGGACGUUAGUAACUGAACGUCCCCUGACGGUAUCUAACCAGAAAGCCACGGCUAACUACGUG